rnacentral:rRNA from 1 species
AACGAACGCUGGCGGCAGGCCUAACACAUGCAAGUCGAGCGGACCCUUCGGGGUUAGCGGCGGACGGGUGAGUAACGCGUGGGAAUAUGCCCUUCUCUACGGAAUAGUCCUGGGAAACUGGGGGUAAUACCGUAUACGCCCUUUGGGGGAAAGAUUUAUCGGGGAAGGAUUAGCCCGCGUUGGAUUAGGUAGUUGGUGGGGUAAUGGCCUACCAAGCCGACGAUCCAUAGCUGGUUUGAGAGGAUGAUCAGCCACACUGGGACUGAGACACGGCCCAGACUCCUACGGGAGGCAGCAGUGGGGAAUCUUAGACAAUGGGGGCAACCCUGAUCUAGCCAUGCCGCGUGAGUGAUGAAGGCCUUAGGGUUGUAAAGCUCUUUCAGCUGGGAAAAUAAUGACGGUACCAGCAGAAGAAGCCCCGGCUAACUCCGUG